AUGGCAGCAGGCGUGCCCGAGGUCGGAGGAGAUGAAGGAGCAACGGCGUUUGGUGCAGGUGGCGUAGCUGUUGCGGACCGACUGGAACAGAGGAAGGAAGGGGUCCGGGGGAUGGAGGGGAUCACACCCGACCGCGCUGGGCACCGAGCAGAGAUAGGGAGUAGCAAGUGGAGUCAGAAGCGGGGCAAGGAGAGGGAUGCAUCGCCGGGGCGGGUCGAUCCAGGAGGGGCUCCCAUGGGGGCCAUCGCGCGGAGCGGUUCUCCGGCGAAUGAAUGGCGAUGA
rnacentral:rRNA from 1 species